rnacentral:rRNA from 1 species
UACAGAGGGGGCAAGCGUUAUUCGGAAUUAUUGGGCGUAAAGGGCGCGUAGGCGGCCUGGCAAGUGGAAGGUGAAAUCCCUCGGCUUAACCGAGGAACUGCCCUCCAAACUGCUUGGCUUGAGUCCGGGAGAGGUGAGUGGAAUUCCCAGUGUAGCGGUGAAAUGCGUAGAUAUUGGGAGGAACACCAGUGGCGAAGGCGGCUCACUGGACCACAACUGACGCUGAGGCGCGAAAGCCAGGGGAGCGAACGGG